rnacentral:rRNA from 1 species
GACAGAGGGUGCAAACGUUGUUCGGAAUUACUGGGCGUAAAGCGCACGUAGGCGGCUUUGCAAGUCCCAUGUGAAAUCCCACGGCUCAACCGUGGAAGUGCAUGGGAAACUGCAGAGCUUGAGUACUUAAGAGGAUCGCGGAAUUCCCGGUGUAGAGGUGAAAUUCGUAGAUAUCGGGAGGAACACCAGUGGCGAAGGCGGCGAUCUGGGAAGAUACUGACGCUGAGGUGCGAAAGCGUGGGGAGCAAACAGG